UAGAGUUGUGCUCACUUGACAAUAUAUCGAGCUAGCGGCGCUGUUUCACCAAAAUUUCACCUCUCUCUGCCAUUGUUAUGUUGCAUUUGCAAAGAAUCGAUCUACAAGCGAUGGAAAAAAAAUUCGAUUCAGGGACUAUCAUAUCAAAUUUUUUUCUCGAACGUCUGCGAUUUCUCUAAUUAAAAUCAAGAACAAGAAAGAAAUAAAGAAAGAAAGAAGAAUUGACAUGGCUGGCAUUCGUUUUAAUGAAGGUAAAAAUUAUGCAUGUAUCCUCUUUUCAUUUGUUUGAGUGGGAACCCUCAUAUUCAGAAUUAUUUUGAAUUUGAUUUGAUCUUUUCAUUUGAGGAUAUUUGUUCAUCUUUCCUAUGCAUCUAUAGGAUAUGUCCUUUCAACACUAGUCAGUGAAUGACUGAUUAUAUUGUUUUAUAUAUUUGCUCUCCAUGCAACAUAAUUUUUAUUAUGUAUUUAGUUUAUCUUUUUUUUUUUUUUUAAAGGAACGAUUUAUACUGAUAUAUUAUAUAUAUUGUGAUCUACUCAUUAUGUGACAGAGUGUCAAAAUGUUUUUGUGUUUUGUUAGAUCUGUUGAUUCUUUGUUACGGUCUUGUGAUAAUUAAUCAUAGGCUUAAUUAUGUAAAAGAUCCCUGUAAGUUCGUGUAUUUUUAUUUUUAGUAUUUGUAUCUUUUUUUUCUUUCAAAAACAAACUUUAUAAGUUGGUCCUUAACGUCAACUUCUGUUAAAAAAACGUUGUGCUGGUUAACAGAGACACACGUGACACUUGGUGAGAUGGCAUAAUACACUUAUUUGGCAUGAUAAGUGACGUGACUAGAACUAAAACUAAAACCAAAAACAAAUAUUUGCAUAGGGAUGAAAUUGAAAAAAAAAAACGUAAACAUUGAAUUUUGAAAUUUUAAAACCAAUCUUUCUAUAUUCUUCAUCUCUCUGUUUUUGCUUUCGUCUCUAUAUCAUCUCUGCCAUGUUAUUGUUUGGAGACCUGAAAUCAAAAUUGUUAAACUGAUAUUUUGGCCAACCACAUUUUGAUUGAUAAUUAGACAAUAGAUCAAAAGAUUCUUCAAUGAAUAUUUUUUAUUACUUUCAUAUCAAAACAUUGAGAAAUGCUUCUAUUAGUAGACAAGAUCCAACAAAUAAAAUUUAAUUUGUGUCAUGUGGAAAAGAUCUGCUGAAUUUUCUGAAAAUGUAUCCUUCAUAGAAGACUACCUAUCUUUGUUGAACCUCGUUUCCCUCAUGUUCUGGUGAUAGAAAUAAAUUGCAUGGUUCUGCCAAACCAGAUGUCGUGACAGAAUCAUGCAAUUUAUUUCCAUCACCGGAGUGUGAUUCACAACAAGGGUAGCUAGGUUUAACAAAGGUAGGCAGCCUUUUUCACUACAUCUUAAUUUCACUGUACCUUGGUGACCACGAGAAACCGGAUCCUCAUACAUAGCAAGAUGCAUCUUCGCCUUCGGUAAAAAAUACACUUUCAGAAAAUUCAGUAGAUAUUUUCCACAUAAUACAAAUAAAAUUUCAUUUUUUGGAUCUUGUCUAGGUAGAAGCAUUUCUCAAGGUUUUGAUCAAAGUAACCCACACAAGAAUAUCUUGUGCACAAUAGAAUACUUUGGUGAAGUCAUAACUUUUGACAUCACUUAUUUAACAAAUAAAUAUGAUAUGGCUUUUGACCCUUUUGUUGGAGUAAAUCAUCACGGCCAAUCUGUGUUGUUGGGUUAUUCACCACGUGGUUAGAAUGCAUGUAUGUACGCACUCAAAAUGCCAUUAUUACUGAUCAGGAUAAGGCAAUGAAAAAGGCAAUUGAAGUUGUCUUCCCAAAAGCCCGUCAUAGAUGGUGCUUAUGGCAUUUAAUGAAAAAGGUACUCGAAACGUUUGGUAGGCUCUCAGAAUAUGAGUUUCUUAAAGCAAUUUUGCAUGAUAUUGUAUAUAAUUCUUUGAGCAAAAGUGAUUUCAUAGAGAGGUAGGAAAAAAUGAUUGAAUGUUAUGAACUAUAUGAUAAUGAAUGGUUGAAAGGUAUAUUUGAUAAGCGACAUUGUUGGGUUCUUGUGUAUGUGAGGGACAUUUUUUUUGGUCAACGACAAAAGAGGGAUGGUCUGGAUUCUGCGUUCAGUUUAACUAUUUCAAGCCACGCCGCUUGGGUUUUGCAAGAUGAACAGUAACCCGAGCUAGGGGUUGUCCAUCGCCGUCUGUAGCAGAGGGUUUUCCGUCGCCUCUUGUAGCCAAAGCUCCGCCACCGCUUUCCUUGCUUUCACGGUUCCGAUCUGGUAGGAUUUUUCGAUUCUAGGUUUUCUCAAAAUGAAUUUCUAGGUCGAUUCACUACUGCCAGAUUGUUUCCAGUUCUGAUUGUGAGGAUUGUUGAGGUUUCUGCUGGUUCAAUUAGAUUUCUGGAUUUCUCUCUCUCUGAUUUAGAUUUUUGUCUAGCUUCUGCAAUAUCAAACCGUUCUGUUUAAUUUUGUAUGUGGUUGUUGUUUGGCUAAUUGUGAUUUUGCCAUGGAAAAACAAUUAUUCUAUUCCGGUUCUCUUUUGAACGUCAAUGAAUUUUCUGGGGUGUUUUUAAAUGUGCCCCAGUUUGGAGAUCCCAACUUAAAUGUUGUGAUUUCAGACAGGCCUUCUGCUGAACAGGUUGUCGAAAAGCCGGUGUCGGCUUUGGAUAAAGUUGCUUCUUACAAAGAAGUUGUGGUUCCUAUCGUGAAGGGUACAUGUGCAAAAUCUUUUGCUCAAGUGUUGAGUAAUUCGUGUGUUAUCCGCAGUGUCAAUUUCCGAUGUUUAGUUUGAAAGGAGAUGAUAUUGGUAUCAAAAUUCUUGAGGACGAGUACAAGUUUAAUGUUGAAUCGGGCUGAAAUCACCUUCAUGGAAGGCUGAUUUUAUCUAAAGGAGACCAUCCUCUAAAACUUGAAGACUUUUGUGCUAAGUUGAAUACUCUCUGGAAGGCUUUGAGUAAAUGGGGAAUUGUUUCUUUAGGAAGAGGCUUCUAUGAAUUUGUUUUUUCUUCUGCUGAGGAUGUUAAACAUGUUCGUGCAGUGCUUACUUGGAGCCUAAAGCGUGGUUUUCUCAAACUUUUUGCUCGGUCUCCCGACUUUAAUUCGAACAAUCACAAACAAACAACAACGCAAUGCUGGGUUCGUUUUCUGGAAUUGCCUCAAGAAUAUUGGAGUCCUAAUAUUCUCUCUGCAUUUGCUAGUUGUCUCGAAACGCCUAUGUGUUUGGAUGCUGCAACAAGUAAGUGUCCUAUAGAGAGAUAUUUUGGUCAUUUUGCUAGAGUUUUAAUUGACAUUGAUUUAUCUGCUAAAAUAAGACAUAAAUUGUGGGUUGAAAGAGAAGGUUAUGUUUUUCUUGUUAAUGUUGAAUAUGAAAAUCUACCACUUUUUUGUUUGCAUUGCCGUAA